UCAAUGUUCAAGGUGUAGAGAGAUUCUGAGCAGGAGGAAGCCUGACUUUAUGCUGCAUUCGUUGUACAAAUGCAUUUGAGCACGGUGAAGUCCCACAUCCGGCAGCACCAGGAGGGCAUUGAGGAGGAAGGCCCUGGCUACACGACAGAUUCCCAGCAGGCGUAGAUAGAUUCCUCACCCCCGGGAAGAGGUGAUGACUCCUGUGCAGUGCUUCUCAGGAAGGUUGAAGUUUGAAAAGUGCGGUUUGCAGAAGGCUUUGCUGGACAGGCAGACUCAGGAGCUGCAUCUGGAAUGGGCCAUAGGGGAAGAAGGAACUAUGGUGUCUGGGGAACCCCAGCAGGUUGAGAUAAGCUGGAUAUAGAAACAAAGCAAGUCAAAGCCAAGCACAUUUGCUCAAUGAUAAUCAAUUAAUGGCUUCUCUUAAUUAGUUUCUUCCACUACCUUACAUAGUGGGAUGCCACCCAAAGAGACACACCAACCCAAGUAGGCAGCCUGGGAGGCUGUCAUCUUGGGGCUUUGAGGAGUAACAAUUGCUAUAGCACUACCGGAGAAGGUUCUUCCUAAGGAUUUGGCAAGCUCCAGUAUUCGGCUCAAAAGAGUGAGACCACAGGCUUUCCC